GAUGAACGCUGGCGGCGUGCCUAAUACAUGCAAGUCGAGCGAACAGACGAGGAGCUUACUCCUCUGACGUUAGCGGCGGACGGGUGAGUAACACGUGGAUAACCUACCUAUAAGACUGGGAUAACUUCGGGAAACCGGAGCUAAUACCGGAUAACAUGUUGAACCGCAUGGUUCAACAGUGAAAGACGGUCUUGCUGUCACUUAUAGAUGGAUCCGCGUCGCAUUAGCUAGUUGGUAAGGUAACGGCUUAUCAAGGCAACGAUGCGUAGCCGACCUGAGAGGGUGAUCGGCCACACUGGAACUGAGACACGGUCCAGACUCCUACGGGAGGCAGCAGUAGGGAAUCUUCCGCAAUGGGCGAAAGCCUGACGGAGCAACGCCGCGUGAGUGAAGAAGGUCUUCGGAUCGUAAAACUCUGUUAUUAGGGAAGAACAAAUGUGUAAGUAACUAUGCACGUCUUGACGGUACCUAAUCAGAAAGCCACGGCUAACUACGUG
rnacentral:rRNA from 1 species